GAGUGUGAUCAUAUCAGCACUAAUGUACUAUCCCCAUCAGAACUUUGAAGUUAAGCGUGCUUGGGUGAGAGUGGUAUUAGGAUGGAUGACCUCUUAAGAAGUCCUCAUGUUGCACCCC
rnacentral:rRNA from 1 species